UCUAGUUGUAGGAUUAAGUAAUUCCCAUUUAUUAGAGUUAUAUUCUUAAGUAAUAUUUUGUCCACUCUCUUACUGAUUUCAACAAGCAAAUAGCUCACUUAGUAAUAACAUUAACUAUCUCGAAUCAAAUUCAGCCUAUUGAAUAAAUCUAUCCUCACUUAGUAAUAGUUAUAUUUUCUGCACUUUCAUCUUGCUUCUUAUCAUAUGUAUGUUGCAAAAAUUUCUGUUCAGUAAGAUGAGGAAACCUUGUAAACCACUAAAACAAGAUGUUGCAAGAAGACAGAAAGGAAGACUAAAAGGAACAAGUGCAGUGAUGAAGGUUGUAC
rnacentral:lncRNA from 1 species